UUUAUGGAGAGUUUGAUCCUGGCUCAGGAUGAACGCUGGCGGCGUGCCUAAUACAUGCAAGUCGAGCGAACAGAUAAGGAGCUUGCUCCUUUGACGUUAGCGGCGGACGGGUGAGUAACACGUGGGUAACCUACCUAUAAGACUGGAAUAACUCCGGGAAACCGGGGCUAAUGCCGGAUAACAUGUUGAACCGCAUGGUUCUACAGUGAAAGACGGUCUUGCUGUCACUUAUAGAUGGACCCGCGCCGUAUUAGCUAGUUGGUGGGGUAACGGCCUACCAAGGCGACGAUACGUAGCCGACCUGAGAGGGUGAUCGGCCACACUGGAACUGAGACACGGUCCAGACUCCUACGGGAGG
rnacentral:rRNA from 1 species